rnacentral:rRNA from 1 species
AGGGAUUGCCCCAGUAACGGCGAGUGAAGCGGCAAGAGCUCAAAUUUGAAAGCUGGCUCCUUCGGGGUCCGCAUUGUAAUUUGCAGAGGAUGCUUCGGGAGCGGUCCCCAUCUAAGUGCCCUGGAACGGGACGUCAUAGAGGGUGAGAAUCCCGUAUGGGAUGGGGUGUCCGCGCCCGUGUGAAGCUCCUUCGACGAGUCGAGUUGUUUGGGAAUGCAGCUCUAAAUGGGUGGUAAAUUUCAUCUAAAGCUAAAUAUUGGCCGGAGACCGAUAGCGCACAAGUAGAGUGAUCGAAAGAUGAAAAGCACUUUGAAAAGAGAGUUAAAAAGCACGUGAAAUUGUUGAAAGGGAAGCGCUUGCGACCAGACUCGCUCGCGGGGUUCAGCCGGCAUUCGUGCCGGUGUACUUCCCCGCGGGCGGGCCAGCGUCGGUUUGGGCGGUCGGUCAAAGGCCCUCGGAAGGUAACGCCCCUAGGGGCGUCUUAUAGCCGAGGGUGCAAUGCGACCUGCCUAGACCGAGGAACGCGCUUCGGCUCGGACGCUGGCAUAAUGGUCGUAAGCGACCCGUCUUGAA